UUCAGGUUGGCCACUGGAUCCUUCCACUGUGGUCCUUGUAAGUAAGCCUUUAUAGCUUUUAUCUGAUGUGGCAAGAUAUUCUGAGCAUAUCAUGUCUCGAUCUGGACUCGGAAUUGGCUGUCUUCCUAGGGACUUCCGUUCCCUUUCCACAAGAAGUAGCAUUCGAGACAACAGCCUGAAUCCCACAUGUUCCCUGACACCAGUUGGGACAUUAUUUUUAGGCCUUAAAACAGACAGAGAUAGAAAUGUUUUUAAGAUGAAAUGUAUUCCUAGCAUAGAGAGAGAAACACUGGAGGUGUCCAAUGCCCUGGUCUGCUGAGCCUUUUCUAAAGACAUAGAAACAAGUAAGAACCAUUCUGCACAGCAUCAGGCCGAGGUGGACGUUCCAAUCAGACUGGAAGGACAGGACAGAGGGACAUGACGAUGAGGCCAUGUUGAUGAGUGUCCCUUAUACUCUGGGUAUGGUGGAUUUCCAGAUGAAAUCUCAACAAGGAGCUCUUCUGACGUGAUCGUCGCAAACGUCGUCUUCCUGCAGAUGGUACACAGCUGGAGCCGGGUUGGAGGAUCUUUCCCCUACAUUCCAUUCCCUAGAGUAAGAGAAGGCUGAGCGGCUGGUGGCCUGGCCUCUGUCAGUGGCCAAGACCCAGUGACUGAUGUCUGAACAAAGAAGGAGCCUUCUCAGGCAACAGAAUCAGCCGAAAUAAACAUCGCCAGCAUGGGUACCGUACACUGCGAGUUCAGUGGUGGCUAUAUAAUAAAUAUCUUCCCUCCAGUGCCCAAUACCACACGAUCGAAUAAAUAAGUGAAAAGUUACAAGCAA